rnacentral:misc_RNA from 1 species
GAUGAAGAACGUAGCGAAAUGCGAUAAGUAAUGUGAAUUGCAGAAUUCAGUGAAUCAUCGAAUCUUUGAACGCACAUUGCGCCCGUCAGUAUUCUGGCGGGCAUGCCUGUUCGAGCGUCAUUACGCCCCUCAAGUCCCCUGUGGACUUGGUGUUGGGGAUCGGCGAGGCUGGUUUUCCAACACAGCCGUCCCUUAAAUUAAUUGGCGGUCUCGCCGUGGCCCUCCUCUGCGCAGUAGUAAAACACUCGCAACAGGAGCCCGGCGCGGUCCACUGCCGUAAAACCCCCCAACUUUUUAUAGUUGACCUCGAAUCAGGUAGGACUACCCGCUGAACUUAAGCAUAUCAAUAAGCGGAGGA